CCUACGGGAGGCUGCAGUGGGGAAUAUUGCACAAUGGGGGGAACCCUGAUGCAGCGACGCCGCGUGAGUGAAGAAGUUUUUCGGUAUGUAAAGCUCUAUCAGCAGGGAAGAAGAUGACGGUACCUGACUAAGAAGCCCCGGCUAACUACGUGCGAGCAGCCGCGGUAAUACGUAGGGGGCAAGCGUUAUCCGGAUUUACUGGGUGUAAAGGGAGCGUAGACGGCAGGGCAAGUCUGGAGUGAAAGCCCGGGGCCCAACCCCGGGACUGCUUGUGAAACUGCCAUGCUAGAGUGCUGGAGAGGUAAGCGGAAUUCCUGGUGUAGCGGUGAAAUGCGUAGAUAUUAGGAGGAACACCAGUGGCGAAGGCGGCUUACUGGACAGUAACUGACGUUGAGGCUCGAAAGCGUGGGGAGCAAACAGGAUUAGAUACCCGGGUAGUC
rnacentral:rRNA from 1 species